CUUGCUCAUUCUGAGGCUGAUAUACUUGUCUUCUACUCUUCUGAGAUUGUGUUGCUGGCUGGUUGUUCCCCUGGCUGCUGCUGUGGGGAGAACCCUGCUGGUGUAUCCCUCAGAGGGUAGUGCAAGGCCCCACUUUUUCUAUCAUUUUUGGGGCCUCUUCUGGCUACCCUUGCUGCUGCCACUAGAGAGCUUGUUGUUGCUGCUGGAGCUCAGGAGGGAGUGGAGGAGACCUUGUUCUGUGGAAGGGGUUGUCGGCAAUGUUCACCCUCCAGGCCCUUUUGCUCGCAGUCUGAUGCAGCAUUGGCUUGCCGGAUCUCAUUGAGCAUGUGUCACAGUUGCACAGGAUCGGUGCUACGUGCUCAUCUUUGGAACAGUCUGCAGGAGGAACCCCUUCAGUGUGCCAGACCCCCUAUGAGUCUCACUUUUCCUCAAGGGUGGUGGUGAUUUUAGCCGAUAUCUCACCCCUAAGGGUAACAGAAGCACAGAGAGCACAACUACUGCUGGCAUCCCAAAGCCCUCCAUUGCAAUGGUGCCUGACGAAGGGAUAGUGUUCUACGAUGGAGGAAGAAAUAAGGCUGCCAUCCCUAGAAACCUUUGGGGGAGGAUUGCCAAGUAAUGAAAGUUUCAUCGAGAUCUCUCAGGGGGCUGCAAGGGACAUCCCUGUGCACAUAAACAAAAUGCUCCACCUGGCCUUCCUUAUCUAAUUCUACAGAGGAAUGAAAAGCAGAUAACUCCACCUCUCUUCGUUGUACCGCUAUCUCAUUUAGUACAAGUAAAAUAAUGAAAAGUUGAUGGCUGUGUCCUGUUAAGUUGGGGGUGCAAUCAGUACAUACAUCGUUGAAAUGAUGCAAUUGAAAUACAGUUACACACUUACCCAAGUUUCCUUCCCCUGCAUCGGGCUCACCUGUGCUCAAUUGCUGGGACUGACUGGAUUGUGGUGGAGUCUCAAAAAGGUCCUGGCUCAUGGCAUAGCUGGACCCCCAUCCUCCUCCUGUUUCUCCUCCACCUCCUCCUCAUCAUCCUUGUUGUUCACACCAAGGGCUUGUGGCUCAGGCUUCUCAGAGGUAUCCAGGGUGGUUUGCGGGGCGGGGUGCAGUCUCUGGCAAAUAGUGCGUGCAGUUUUUUGUAAAAGCCACGGGUCUGUGACUCAGCACCAGAUUGACCGUUCACCUCCCUGGCCUUCUGAUGGCUGCCACAGUUCCUGCACUUUCAUGCAGCACUGCUGCUGGUCCCUGCCAUACCCCUUCUCCUUACCUCUAUCCCCAGUGCAAUUUGCUUGCAGAUGUCCAUGUUUCUA